GCCCAGUGAGUCGCAUAACAAACCGAACCAAUCAGGUGAUUCGAAGCGGUUGAGUGCUUCAAACGUCACUGAAGUGAUUCAAACGUCACGAGUCACGUGACCAAAACACGCCUCGGCACAGUGGCUCGAUAUGUUUGCUUCAUGAGCUACAGCGCAUGUGUCGAAGCCUCGGGUAUCAGAGGACCAUCGCUAUCUCUGGCUGCUGUUGACCUUGUUUUUGGAGUAAAACACGGUGGAAGCUGAAUUAGUGAGGAUGACUCCUGCUCCUGUCAUCUCUAAGCUCCUCACACAUCUUUACCUGCACAUGAGGAAAAUCACUCCUGUAGAAUGCAGAUGUUCAGAGGGAGAUGAUGCCACAUCUGGUCCAGCUGAUGGAAGGUCUUGAAGUUCUCUGACUGGCCUCGACUGAAGAUGGUCGUCUCACUGGAUUUAAGGUUCAGAUGCUCAGUAACAAACUCCACCAAUGAGCCAACAGGGAAGCUUUAGGUUUAUUAAAUGUUGCUAUGAAGGUAUCACUGUUUUUCUUUGUGAAUGCAAUGUGCUCCAACUGAAACUUGAAUUAGAACUUAGAAGUAAAUCCUUCCAUCUGAAAGGAUUUAGUUGCAUUAAUAACCUCAUAACAUUCUAAUUUUUAUUUCAGUCUUGGCUGGAAAUAGAAUCUCUGUAUUGAUUCAGGUAAAAACUGAACUUCACAGCAUGUUGAAGCAAAACAACCAGAUGAAAACUGUGAUGGUGUUGGAUUGUCAGACCGUAAUGUUGCAGCUCAAAGCAGCUUUUCUAUCUCAGUUCAUUCUGACAUUCAGCUAUGAAUCAACACAGCAGAUGGUGAUCCAUGCUGUGGAAGUCUCACAUCUCCUGAUUUAAUGGAGCUGCUUUGCACUUUUUACACUGUUUAUUCACCAACACUUUAUUUAAUAAAAGUUCCAUCUAGUUUUUAUGAGGAAAGUGAUGUUUUAAUUUCUCUGUGAAUAACUGCAGUCUAAUGCAACAGCUGGAGUUGUAACAUCUGUCCUGAUAUUGAUCAUGAAGUAUUGAUCAGAAUACUUAUGGUUAGCAGUCAUCCCUGAAGUUUUACAUUAAAAUCUUUACUUGUGUUGUGAACUUUGGUAAGAAGCAGAAACUUUUGCGUUGCCAUGGAUACAUGAGUGUUAAAUUCUGUCCAUGUUUCCAUUUUGGGAAAUUCAGUCCAGUUCCAGAAUGUGGAGGAAUUUAGUCUCACAAUCACAGACAACAAAUAUUAUCUGAAAGUCGGGUUAUUGUUGUUUAUCAGCACAAUACAAAAAGAUUAGUGUUAGAAAUAUUCCAGUUAAGACUCUAGAAUAUCAUGAUUUAUGUAAAUUUACCUCAAUAAUAUGAAUGUUCAGGUUAAGAUUGUACAGUGAUAUUUAUUAUGUAAGUUUAGCUGAUUAAAGUUUAUGACUCUGCACUAAAACAUUAUUUAAAUUGACAUCAUUAUUAUAAUAUUUAGGGUCAGACCCUACAGUAUUGAGAUUAAGAAAUCAAAUAUUCUAUAAAAUGUAAAUACACUGAACUCAUUUGGAUAUAUUUAAGUGAGACUCUACGGUAUUAUUUAUGACACAAAUCUAUCUAAAUCAAAAUUUUAAUAAUUUUCACGCCAAACAUUUACUGGACUGAUUUAAACAUUAAAAUCACUCCUUUCUAAUCCUCUGCUGUACGUUCAAACCUGAGGCCUUAAAUAGAAACACACAAGUAUCUGAUUGAAGGAACUUCUGCAGAGUCCUGGUUCCAGAACAUGAUGAUAGAAUUACAGACAAACUUUAACAAAAGCUGCCUGAGAGUUUACAGGUUUUUAUGUUGGAUUUCUUCAGUAAUUUAAUGAGAGUUAUCAGCAAAAAUCAAGUGUUCAUUUGAUGAACUUCAUUUCCUAAAACAUCCAGAAUUGGAGCUCAUAUCUUUGGCAGCUGUAAAGUUUCUGCUCCUUCAAAGUUCACAACACAAUGAAUGAAUUCCUAAAACACUCUCAAUGCUGGAGAACGUUUGUGAUGCUGAAGCAGUGACCAGUUUUUCUGUUUCUUCUCUGGAGAUGCACAAUGAGGGACGUCUGCAGAGACUGAGAAAGAGUCUCACCACAUCCUGACAUGAGGAAAAAGACUUUAUUGAAGACUACAAUGAGAAAAACUAUCAGACAGCAGACGGCUGCAUUCAAGGCUACAGGAGGAGCCCUACGAGGACGAGCCGGUCCACCUGAUGGUGGCCAGUCGCUGCGGUUCAAAGCCAACACCGACUACGUGGACUUCUACUGGACCACACGGAGGCCUUCAAACCGGACCAACAAGUUCCCCGACUCCCCGACUCGUGGGUCUGAGGACGCCGCCGAGCCUCGGUCCAGCCGGCCUCCUGUCUGUGGGUGUUUGAGUGCUGAGAGACCUGACCGUGAACACCGUUGACACCCACCUGAGG
ensembl:lncRNA